CAAAUUAGAUCUUGGUAAAGAGUUUCAGUUACAUUGAAAAGAGUUGUACUAGUAAGUACAAUAAUUUGA
rnacentral:tRNA from 1 species